GCGCUCGAUUCGGCAUCACAGAUACUAAAACGUUGGAACGAUACAGAGAAGAUUAGCAUGGCCCCUUCGCAAGGAUGACACGCAAAUUGGUGAAGCGUUCCAUAUUAAA